rnacentral:rRNA from 1 species
GACAGCAGUCGCCGCGGGAAUACGGAGGGUGCAAGCGUUAAUCGGAAUUACUGGGCGUAAAGCGCACGCAGGCGGUCUGACAAGUCAGAUGUGAAAUCCCCGGGCUUAACCUGGGAACUGCAUUUGAAACUGUCAGGCUGGAGUCUUGUAGAGGGGGGUAGAAUUCCAGGUGUAGCGGUGAAAUGCGUAGAGAUCUGGAGGAAUACCGGUGGCGAAGGCGGCCCCCUGGACAAAGACUGACGCUCAGGUGCGAAAGCGUGGGGAGCAAACAGGAUUAGAUACCCGGGUAGUCCCUGUCUCUUAUAA